rnacentral:tRNA from 2 species
GGGGCUGUAGCUCAGAUGGGAGAGCGCAUGACUGGCAGUCAUGAGGUCGUCGGUUCGAUCCCGAUCAGCUCCACCA